rnacentral:rRNA from 1 species
UACGUAGGGUGCAAGCGUUGUCCGGAAUUAUUGGGCGUAAAGAGCGCGCAGGCGGUAUGACAAGUCAGAUGUGAAAGAGGCCGGCUUAACCGGCAAGGGUCAUUUGAAACUGUCAGACUAGAGUGCAGCAGAGGAUAGUGGAAUUCCCGGUGUAGUGGUGAAAUGCGUAGAUAUCGGGAGGAACACCAGUGGCGAAGGCGACUAUCUGGGCUGCAACUGACGCUGAGGCGCGAAAGCGUGGGGAGCAAACAGG